GCUACUUCAAACCAUCGCGAACUCGUCCAAGUUGCUUCGGCGGCGCGGCACCCCUUAACGGGGGCGCCGCAGCCCUGCCUCUCCGGAGGUUCGGGGCGCCCGCCGGAGGUACGAAACUCUGUAUUAUAGUGGCAUCUCUGAGUAUAAAACAAAUAAGUUAAAACUUUCAACAACGGAUCUCUUGGUUCUGGCAUCGAUGAAGAACGCAGCGAAAUGCGAUAAGUAAUGUGAAUUGCAGAAUUCAGUGAAUCAUCGAAUCUUUGAACGCACAUUGCGCCCGGUAGUACUCUACCGGGCAUGCCUGUUCGAGCGUCAUUUCAACCCUCAAGCCCUGCUUGGUGUUGGGGCCCUACGGCUGCCGUAGGCCCUGAAAGGAAGUGGCGGGCUCGCUACAACUCCGAGCGUAGUAAUUCAUUAUCUCGCUAGGGAGGUUGCGGCGUGCUCCUGCCGUUAAAGACCCAUCUUUAACCAAGGUUGACCUCGGAUCAGGUAGGAAUACCCGCUGAACUUAAGCAUAUCAAUAAGCGGAGGAAAAGAAACCAACAGGGAUUGCCCUAGUAACGGCGAGUGAAGCGGCAACAGCUCAAAUUUGAAAUCUGGCUUCGGCCCGAGUUGUAAUUUGUAGAGGAUGCUUUUGGUGAGGUGCCUUCUGAGUUCCCUGGAACGGGACGCCAGAGAGGGUGAGAGCCCCGUAUAGUCGGCCACCGAUCCUUUGUAAAGCUCCUUCGACGAGUCGAGUAGUUUGGGAAUGCUGCUCAAAAUGGGAGGUAUAUCUCUUCUAAAGCUAAAUAUAGGCCAGAGACCGAUAGCGCACAAGUAGAGUGAUCGAAAGAUGAAAAGCACUUUGAAAAGAGGGUUAAAUAGCACGUGAAAUUGUUGAAAGGGAAGCGCUUGUGACCAGACUUGUGCCGGGCUGAUCAUCCAGUGUUCUCACUGGUGCACUCGACCCGGCUCAGGCCAGCGUCGGUUUUCGUGGGGGGAUAAAAGCUUCGGGAACGUGGCACCUUCGGGUGUGUUAUAGCCCGUUGCUUAAUACCUCCGUGGAGACCGAGGU
rnacentral:rRNA from 2 species